rnacentral:hammerhead_ribozyme from 1 species
AUCUAUCUGACGAGUCCCAAAUAGGGCGAAACGCUCAUCGAACUGGAU